CUUGAAGUGUCCUCAGUCAGGAGAAGGCUCCAAUAACUUUAUGGUUGGUGGAUCUACACCUGCCCAAGCAAGCCCAGUGACACGCACUGCGGCUCAAGAUGCAUCGACCUGCACGCCACAAUGAUCACUCGAGGUUUGCAUCACGAAUGCCGUCGACGGUGGGCAUACAUGCUGCGGUGGACACUCAUUGCAUAUUGUAGGUUGAACUUGCUUUCGUUUCUGAACUCUUGUUGCAUAUGUAAUGUUGUUGUGAACCCUCCUUGAAUAUGUAUGCAUGCUUUUGUGAAACUAUAUUGGAUAUGUAUGAGUGUGUGGACUUUGAACUCAUCAUCGGUUUGUUCUUGUUGUGAACUUGUAAUAUAUUGGAUAUGUAUGCAUGACCGUUUCGGUUUUGAA